CACGUGGACAAUCUGCCCCCCGGCCCGGGACUAGCCCAGGGAAACCUGGAUUAAUACCGGAUGAGACGGGACCCGCGAUGGCGGGAUCCGGGAAAGGCGCUGCGGCGCCGCCGGGGGAUGAGUCUGCGUCCCAUUAGCUAGACGGCGGGGUAACGGCCCACCGUGGCGACGAUGGGUAGCCGGCUGAGAGGGUGACGGCCACAUUGGAACUGAGACACGGUCCAGACUCCUACGGGAGGCAGCAGCUAAGAAUCUUCCGCAAUGGGCGAAAGCCUGACGGAGCGAACCGCCGCGUGAACGAAGAAGGCCGUGAGGUUGUAAAGUUCUUUUCGGGAGGGGGAACAACCGUGGCAGGGAAUGGCCGCGGGAUGACGUGAAUCCCGGAAUAAGCCCCGGCUAACUACGUGCCAGCCGCAGC
rnacentral:rRNA from 1 species